UACGAAGGGGGCUAGCGUUGUUCGGAAUUACUGGGCGUAAAGCGCGCGCAGGCGGCUAUCCAAGUCAGUGGUGAAAGCCCGGAGCUCAACUCCGGAACUGCCAUUGAAACUGUUUAGCUGGAGUAUGAGAGAGGUGAGUGGAAUUCCCAGUGUAGAGGUGAAAUUCGUAGAUAUUGGGAAGAACACCGGUGGCGAAGGCGGCUCACUGGCUCAUUACUGACGCUCAUGCGCGACAGCGU
rnacentral:rRNA from 1 species